AGUGAACGCUGGCGGUAGGCCUAACACAUGCAAGUCGAACGGCAGCACAGUAAGAGCUUGCUCUUACGGGUGGCGAGUGGCGGACGGGUGAGGAAUACAUCGGAAUCUACUUUUUCGUGGGGGAUAACGUAGGGAAACUUACGCUAAUACCGCAUACGACCUACGGGUUAAAGCAGGGGAUCUUCGCACCUUGCGCGAUUCAAUGAGCCGAUGUCGGAUUAGCUAGUUGGCGGGGUAAAGGCCCACCAAGGCGACGAUCCGUAGCUGGUCUGAGAGGAUGAUCAGCCACACUGGAACUGAGACACGGUCCAGACUCCUACGGGAGGCAGCAGUGGGGAAUAUUGGACAAAGGGCGCAAGCCUGAUCCAGCCAUACCGCGUGGGUGAAGAAGGCCUUCGGGUUGUAAAGCCCUGUUGUUGGGAAAGAAAAGCAGCAGGUUAAUACCCCGCUGUUCUGACGGUACCCAAAGAAUAAGCACCGGCUAACUUCGUG
rnacentral:rRNA from 1 species